CAUGGUUUCGACGUGGAUUACAAAGCAUCAAGGGCAUACCGAGGACCCGUUAUCUCGUAAAUCAAUGGGAAUGCAAUAACUGCUAACGACGAACGUUACGCACUAGCCGCUUAAAUGCGGCUGCCCCUGAACUGAUUCUCUCUUGGGUCAGGUAGCGCAAGCUACAUCAGGGUCAUUUACAAGAGAUAAGAUCAACUCGUGUCACGAGGGUUGAUACGGAUCAACUUUUGCAAGAUGUGCGGCAUGCAAAAUGGGUUCUGGGUGUGGUUUAGAGUGCGGGGUGGU
rnacentral:tmRNA from 1 species